UUGACAGUUUGGCUUCCCUGUUCUGGGUGGCAAAGCCUGUGGAGUACUCACCUACCUGCUGCAUGAAGGCAGCAUGGAGGGACUGUGGUGGAUUAUCUGCAAAGAUGGCCAAAAUUCUCUCAUCCCUGCAGGCACAUACAAGGUUGUUGCAUGGCAUAAGUAAAGUGACAGUUAUAGGAUACAUGCAACUUUUCAGUGACAAAGAUCUGUGCAGCAUCGACAGUACUGCCUAAUGAGGUUUCACCAUAAUGAAGUAUCACAACCAGUUUACAGACCAGAAAACUGAGACACAGGAAGGGGUGGUGACUUGAGCAAGGUGCAUCAGCUGGUUUCCAGAAGUUCCCCAGUCAUUGAGCAUUUCUGAGGCUCUUGAUGCAUAUGCCAAGUAGUUAUGGAGAAAGACACAGCAGCUUACCUCUGCAGGCAUCAUUGUGUGAAAGGAAGACCCAGGCUCUCUCACCACCCUUGAACAGAAGCCUUUUGCUAAGGUGAUAGCUACAUGUCCAAGCCUAUUGCGUGGCAUGCAUUUUGCCUUCUGCAGCCCACUAAAGGAAAUUGAAGUAUACAGAAUGCUUAUUUGGUCUACUCAGUAUCAUCCUAAAUGUAUGUACCAAUGCUUAGGAGUUUGCAGUUCACCCGCAAACCUCAGCGAUCCAAGCUCCCCUGGAUGACCAUCACUCACCAAGAAAAGAGCAAUAACAGGACCUGUUUUGCUAAUCCAGGACUGUUCUCCAGCACUAACUCUAAAUAAUCCCUUCUGCUAGAGUCCACUUUCUGGAACCUGUUGGAGAAGACAUCUUACUCUUAUUGGAUCAUGCACAGUGCCUGAAGCAUUCUGUUGCAUGUAGAAGGCAACAGAAAGAAACUGAGGGUCUGCUAUUUGUCUCCAGAGGCCUUACAAACUGGUAGAAGAUGCAUAACAGAAGAGCUUAUGAAGUUAAAGAUG
rnacentral:lncRNA from 1 species